GAUGAACGCUGGCGGCGUGCUUAACACAUGCAAGUCGAACGGUGAACCCGGAGCUUGCUCUGUGGGAUCAGUGGCGAACGGGUGAGUAACACGUGAGCAACCUGCCCCUGACUCUGGGAUAAGCGCUGGAAACGGCGUCUAAUACUGGAUUUGUGACGUGACCGCAUGGUCUGCGUUUGGAAAGAUUUUUCGGUUGGGGAUGGGCUCGCGGCCUAUCAGCUUGUUGGUGAGGUAAUGGCUCACCAAGGCGUCGACGGGUAGCCGGCCUGAGAGGGUGACCGGCCACACUGGGACUGAGACACGGCCCAGACUCCUACGGGAGGCAGCAGUGGGGAAUAUUGCACAAUGGGCGCAAGCCUGAUGCAGCAACGCCGCGUGAGGGAUGACGGCCUUCGGGUUGUAAACCUCUUUUAGCAGGGAAGAAGCGAAAGUGACGGUACCUGCAGAAAAAGCGCCGGCUAACUACGUG
rnacentral:rRNA from 1 species